AAAUCAUGGUGAGGGCACCUUCUCAAUAGGUCCUUGUAUCUGUCCCAUGCAUCAUAAAGUGUUUCUAAAUCCAUCACUACACAAAAUAAGAAAUAUCAUUCCUUAAUUU
rnacentral:snoRNA from 1 species